rnacentral:tRNA from 1 species
AGGGCUAUAGCUCAGUCGGUAGAGCGCCUCGUUUACACCCCGAGAAGGUCUACGGUUCGAAUCCGUAUAGCCCUA